rnacentral:rRNA from 1 species
AAUAGAUACCCCGGUAGUCCACGCCGUAAACGAUGAUUACUAGACGUUAGUUCCGUUAUGCGGGACUAGUGUCGUAGCUAACGCGAUGAGUAAUCCGCCUGAGUAGUACGGUCGCAAGAUUAAAACUCAAAGGAAUUGACGGGGGUCCGCACAAGCGGUGGAACAUGUGGUUUAAUUCGACACUACGCGAGAAACCUUACCUAGGCUUGACAUGCAUUUGACCGCUAUGGAAACAUAGUUUUUAUGCGAAAGUAUAGACAGAUGCACAGGUGCUGCAUGGCUGUCGUCAGCUCGUGUCGUGAGAUGUUGGGUUAAGUCCUUUAACGAGCGCAACUCCUGCCAUUAGUUGCAACCCAGUGAUGGGGCACUCUAGUGGGACUGCCUGGGAAACCAGGAGGAAGGCGGGAAUGACGUCAAGUCCGCAUGGUCCUUAUGCCUAGGGCAACACACGUGUUACAAUGGCUUAUACAGAGGGUUGCGAAGUCGCAAGAUGGAGCUAAUCCCAUAAAGUAAGUCUAAGUUCGGA